UAAUGUAUGGGGAUCUGCCCGAUAGAGGGGAUAACUACUGGAAACGGUGGCUAAUACCGCAUAAUGUCUACGGACCAAAGCAGGGGCUCUUCGGACCUUGCACUAUCGGAUGAACCCAUAUGGGAUUAGCUAGUAGGUGGGGUAAAGGCUCACCUAGGCGACGAUCUCAGCUGGUCUGAGAGGAUGAUCAGCCACACUGGGACUGAGACACGGCCCAG
rnacentral:rRNA from 1 species